GUAGUCCACGCCCUAAACGAUGUCAACUAGUUGUCGGGACUUAUUAGUCUUGGUAACGCAGCUAACGCGUGAAGUUGACCGCCUGGGGAGUACGGUCGCAAGAUUAAAACUCAAAGGAAUUGACGGGGACCCGCACAAGCGGUGGAUGAUGUGGAUUAAUUCGAUGCAACGCGAAAAACCUUACCUACCCUUGACAUGGACCAAAGCUUUCAGAGAUGAGAGUGUGCUCGCAAGAGAAUGGUUACACAGGUGCUGCAUGGCUGUCGUCAGCUCGUGUCGUGAGAUGUUGGGUUAAGUCCCGCAACGAGCGCAACCCUUGUCAUUAAUUGCCAGCACGUAGAGGUGGGCACUUUAAUGAGACUGCCGGUGACAAACCGGA
rnacentral:rRNA from 1 species